CCUGAUGAGGGAGAUCACACCUCUACAGAUGAUGAGAGUGAGCAAUAUUUUAUUGCUCAGAAAAAUAAACGAAACACCCCAAAGCAAAGACCCCCACAACAUUCAAAGAUGUCCAGUAGCAGCCAUGAACCGCUGCCUCAUCCCCCAACUCCUCCUCCCCAAAUGCGUCAAAAUAGAGAUGAUGCUAGGCUUUCCAGUGGGAGGUCAAGUGUAGGUGCCAUAUCAUCUCACCUUUUCAUGCAACUGAUAGUUCAAGGACGUCUAGGAGUAAUGUUGAAUACAACCAUACUGCUGUGGUUGAAAAGGUCUUCACCUCAUUAGAAAAAAUUAAUGAGCAACUGAGGGAACAGGGGCAGCAACUGAAAAGGAUUGAGGAAAGACAAAUGCGUGUGGCACCAUUUGACCCUGGAGCACUGGGUGAAGAGGCAGUAGAUGAAGAAGACUGUCAGAUCUU